rnacentral:rRNA from 1 species
GACGAACGCUGGCGGCGUGCCUAAUACAUGCAAGUUGAGCGCUGAAGGUUGGUACUUGUACCAACUGGAUGAGCAGCGAACGGGUGAGUAACGCGUGGGGAAUCUGCCUUUGAGCGGGGGACAACAUUUGGAAACGAAUGCUAAUACCGCAUAAAAACUUUAAACACAAGUUUUAAGUUUGAAAGAUGCAAUUGCAUCACUCAAAGAUGAUCCCGCGUUGUAUUAGCUAGUUGGUGAGGUAAAGGCUCACCAAGGCGAUGAUACAUAGCCGACCUGAGAGGGUGAUCGGCCCCAUUGGGACUGAGACACGGCCCAAACUCCUACGGGAGGCAGCAGUAGGGAAUCUUCGGCAAUGGACGAAAGUCUGACCGAGCAACGCCGCGUGAGUGAAGAAGGUUGUCGGAUCGUAAAACUCUGUUGGUAGAGAAGAACGUUGGUGAGAGUGGAAAGCUCAUCAAGUGACGGUAACUACCCAGAAAGGGACGGCUAACUACGUG